GUAGGGGGGCCAGCGUUGUCCGGGAUUCAUUGGGGCGUAAAGAGCGUGUAGGCGGUUCAAUAGGUCCGAUGUGAAAACUCGAGGGCUCAACCUCGAGAGGUCGUCGGAAACCAUUGGGCUAGAGUCCGGAAGAGGAGAGUGGAAUUCCUGGUGUAGCGGUGAAAUGCGCAGAUAUCAGGAAGAACACCGAUGGCGAAGGCAGCUCUCUGGGACGGUACUGACGCUGAGACGCGAAAGCGUGGGGAGCGAACAGGAUUAGAUACCCUGGUAGUCCACGCCGUAAACGAUGGGCACUAGGUGUGGGUGGUGUCGACUCCAUCCGUGCCGCAGCUAACGCAUUAAGUGCCCCGCCUGGGGAGUACGGCCGCAAGGCU
rnacentral:rRNA from 1 species